ensembl:lncRNA
AUAACCGGCUAGAACUAGGUAGCAAAAUAAUGUGACGACGCACCUGUUGCUUUGAGAAAAAUACCAUACAGUUGACACAUAGUCACAGCUUUUCUUCACCGUACAAAACCUGAGUCAGAUGGAUGAAGGAGGGAAGAGAGUAGAAAUGCUGAGAGCAGAUAUGUUAAAAAAAAAAAUUCUUCUUUUAAAAUUGACUACUCUUUUAAUCUCUGAAAGCUUUUCCGUUUUGUUCCUCAUGAAUAGAUAUGUUUUCUGAUCUCAUCACCUUUCCAUGUCAGUGGAAACUACAAUCGAAGAGACAAAGGACUCAGUAAAUCUUGAUCAUGUGACUUGUAGAAAUUAUCUUAUGUGACCUUCUCAAUCUUUUUUGUGAUGUUUUGUGGUUGCAGUCUUCUCUAAGCCCACAGGCUCAAACUUUGUGUGUUUGACCACAUGGCCCAUUGCAUGCUACUCAACAGAAUGGAUUGUUAUGGGCUUUUCAUCUUCUCCCCAGAUCCAAAUCCAAUGUAGACCGAAUGGAUAACAAUCUUCUCUAAAAGCUCUCUGAGGUCAUCUUUUGUCUACCUCAGUGUGGAAAUAAUUACAUUGAACUCAACAGCUUCCACUGACCUUUGUCUUUAGCAGUGCAAAGACCCAAGCACCUCCAGGCGAUGACCACUGCAGUGUAAGGAUCUUACAAAAGUAACCUUCAAGAAAUAGUUAUUUUUUGUAUCUGCAGUGCCUACAUACAGGCAUUUCACAGAAGACUCAUCCCUUUCCUCAGGGUUUACAAUUCUCUUAAUCUUUGGCUUAUCAAGGAUAACUCGCCAUAAAGAUAGGAGGGAGAGAUAGCUUGCUGUGUAAUGAAAAAAAUCAGUACACAAGUCAGACAUGUUCUGCUCAUACAUUUAUCCCUACUGCUAUACAGUCUGAAGCUGGCUGACUGCAAAUUGAGUAUAGUGAAACUCUGUUGGUAAAUAUAUUGAAGUAUACAGUCUAUCAAGUUUUGUUUGUAUACAGAUUGUUGCAUAGUGCUAGUUGUGCUGUUUAGGCUCAAAUCUGUAAAAAUCUUUUUGUUUUGUGGAUAUCUGUAAUGAAUAUUUUUUUUUCUUAGAAAUAUAAAUCACAAAACAGAUUAAUUAGGAACCACCUCCAAUGACAGGAGCCCUCGGUCGAGGAGGACCUUGCCUUGUAGUCUGGCCAUACAUGAGUUAUAUGCUGAUAAAAAAUAUGAGGGACUGCAGAGUAGAUCACUAUAGUUUCAUUAAUCAAUAUGGAUAUCAAUUCUUUAUGAAUUCUUUAUGAAUUCUUUCAUGUUUUAGCAUGAGAAUUGAUAGAGAACUCUACAAAUUAUUUUAUUCUUCUGAGGUUAUUUCUGUUCACCCUGGUUUAAGAUAAGACAACUGCAAUAUUUGUGGCUAUGUCACUGCAGAACUCAUCACUGACUACACCACUGCUCUCUUUUUAAGACUUAGAUGUUUUAAAUAUAAUAUCCAAAUAUGUUUGCCAUUCUGUUUCUCUCUGUUCCUCAUCCCUCUGGUCAAGGAAAAUAUAUACCAGAUAGAAAAGUUGUAAAGCUGUAAAGGACUGUACGCUACUAAAGAGAGAAGAUGGCGUCUGUCUUUUUGGUAUUCUUACUUAAACAAUAUCAACAUCUGUCUUCCUGUCUGCCAUGAAUUGUUAAUUAAGUUUAAAGUCUUGCUGUGAUAACUUGAUUUGAAAUCUUUCUAUAUUUUGGCCCUGGCUGUGAUCUGAAGCUCUGAAUUCUUUAGAUUAGUAAAAUCCAGAGGUGGAGUGCAUGCAGAGACAACAUCUGUUAGAACUGAUGUCGUCUUUUAAAGGGUAAUCUCUUAUGCAUGGAGCUGAGUGGGGCUGUAUUUCACUGCAUUCCUUGCUGUGCUUGCUGAUCAUGUAGUCAUACCUCAAGCUAACUUUAAAUAUCUCAUUUGGAUAGAGCUGCCAGCAAAGCAGAAGACACUUGGGCUUCAGUGCAGACUAAGUUGUCUGUUUUUUCCCAGUUGCUGCGUAGAUUUUGUUAUCAAGAAGGAUGAUUUUAAGUCAAAGUUGAGCGCGUUGCUAUAGGUUUCAGUUAUGGCUAAGACCACUGCGGAGAUGAAUUCUGACUAGUACUAAGGUCAAUAAAA